ACGGCGACGAAUCCUCUCCGAUCGCUCUUCUCCGUUCGCCCUCCCGCUCACUUCUCGUCUUCGAGUUUCACUCUCGAUAUCCCUUCUCUUAUUUUCUCUUUUUCUCGUUUCGGAUUGCGUUGAACAAGCGAUGGAGGUGAAGGCGUCUACUGAAAGUGACGAUCGACGCCGAGGUGACGGAGUUAUUCUUGAAGGCUGUUGAAGAUGGAGACAAGGUUGAAGAACUGCGUCGACGAGGAAGAUGACACUGAGGAGAUUGAAUCGCGUUCGAAGAUCAUUGACUCAAGGUUUUCGGUCAUUUUUCUGAUGGACUCAGGAAGUUGAAGGUUGUUACAGAAUUCUCUUUUUGUGCGAGGUGGAGGAUGAAUGGAUUGAAAUCGAGAGAACUUGAAGAACGAAUCCUCUUUUUGUGAAGAUGGAGGUUAGCUUGAAAAUGAAGAUGGUGGAGUGUGUAAUGGAGAUGAAGAAGUAAUGGUCAUGGAGGUUCUGAGAUGAUGAUGAGUGUGAAGAAUGGUUGCAGGGUGAAUAGAUGAAGAUGAAGAGUGAUGAAGGGAUUGAGAGUGGAAGAAUGAUGGGGUGAAUUGUGGAAGAAUGGUGGAGGCCGUGAAAUGGUGAGGCUGAUUCUGUUAUAUAGGUUGGAGAGGGAGAGAGUUCAGUUAGAGCUUGAAUGAUUGGAGCCCUUGGAUCGAGAGAGUUUGUUAUGUGAUGAAUGGAGGAGA